rnacentral:rRNA from 1 species
AUUGAACGCUGGCGGCAGGCCUAACACAUGCAAGUCGAGCGGAUGAAGGGAGCUUGCUCCUGGAUUCAGCGGCGGACGGGUGAGUAAUGCCUAGGAAUCUGCCUGGUAGUGGGGGAUAACGUCCGGAAACGGGCGCUAAUACCGCAUACGUCCUGAGGGAGAAAGUGGGGGAUCUUCGGACCUCACGCUAUCAGAUGAGCCUAGGUCGGAUUAGCUAGUUGGUGGGGUAAAGGCCUACCAAGGCGACGAUCCGUAACUGGUCUGAGAGGAUGAUCAGGCACACUGGAACUGAGACACGGUCCAGACGCCUACGGGAGGCAGCAGUGGGGAAUAUUGGACGAUGGGCGAAAGCCUGAUCCAGCCAUGCCGCGUGUGUGAAGAAGGUCUUCGGAUUGUAAAGCACUUUAAGUUGGGAGGAAGGGCAGUAAGUUAAUACCUUGCUGUUUUGACGUUACCAACAGAAGAAGCACCGGCUAACCUCGUG